CAUGCCCGUGCAGGAGAGCGUUACACCCGAUUACACCGUAACCGCCGAAGGCGCAGACACCCUUAAAUCGCUCAGGCAAAAGGACUGCAUUUAUCAC
rnacentral:ncRNA from 2 species